UGAACUGGCCCAGAACAUAAUUGAAUCCAUGUUGUUUUUUGAAGACAUUCCUAGAAUCCAGUGAGUUGUUUUAAUCUGAUUCUAAGAAUGUCUUCAAAAACAACAUGGAUUCUCUUGCACAAAUUCUAAGAAU
ensembl:miRNA